GAGGAGGAGAAAGAUGAGGAGCACAAUGCGGCGGCGGUGGUCGACGAGGAGAUGGUGCCGGCGCUGCAGGAGAGUGACGGCGAGGGGAUGGGGGCCGUGUACGACCCUGUUCAUGGGGAAGCUGCCAGUUCUGCAGAAGGAACCGUGCGACGAGGAUGACUGCAAAUGCUGCGUUGAAUGAGACCCGAACCAGCCGUGCAUAGGCAUGACGGAGUGCUCAUCUUGCCACGCUUCUGUCUCCAUCUUCGUCUGAAUUUACGUACAGCCGCGGGUUCCAUCUGCAUCUAGCUUCGAAGUACCUAGACUCCAAGCCAGUUUGUCGCAUGGUCUCUGGACACUGUAGCGGAGUCUGUGCUGGACUGUUGUAAUGA